rnacentral:other from 1 species
UACAUCCUGCUUUUGCUCGUUACGACUUUAAAUUGUUUUGAACCAAUGGCUGUUUCACGGGAGUCCUACAUCGGAUCGAGGCUGACACGCCCUUUACGGAAGGGAUCUCAAAACCGGUUCUGCGGACACCCACCUGCGAGAGCGGGUUCAGAAACAAGCAAGUCGGACGGCUUGAGCGGGUUCCAU